UACGUAGGGACCAAGCGUUGUUCGGAUUUACUGGGCGUAAAGGGCGCGUAGGCGGCUUGACAAGUCACUUGUGAAAUCUCCGGGCUUAACUCGGAACGGCCAAGUGAAACUGUCAUGCUAGAGUGCAGAAGGGGCAAUCGGAAUUCUUGGUGUAGCGGUGAAAUGCGUAGAUAUCAAGAGGAACACCUGAGGUGAAGACGGGUGCUGGGCUGACACUGACGCUGAGGCGCGAAAGCCAGGGGAGCAAACGGG
rnacentral:rRNA from 1 species